AGUUUUAUAGUUUAAUAAAAAUAUUAAAUUGCAAAUUUAAAGAUAAAUUUUUUUAAGACUU
rnacentral:tRNA from 1 species